rnacentral:rRNA from 1 species
CUUAACGCGAAGAACCUUACCUACUCUUGACAUCCAGAGAACUUUCCAGAGAUGGAUUGGUGCCUUCGGGAACUCUGAGACAGGUGCUGCAUGGCUGUCGUCAGCUCGUGUUGUGAAAUGUUGGGUUAAGUCCCGCAACGAGCGCAACCCUUAUCCUUUGUUGCCAGCGGUUCGGCCGGGAACUCAAAGGAGACUGCCAGUGAUAAACUGGAGGAAGGUGGGGAUGACGUCAAGUCAUCAUGGCCCUUACGAGUAGGGCUACACACGUGCUACAAUGGCGUAUACAAAGAGAAGCGACCUCGCGAGGGCAAGCGGACCUCAUAAAGUAAGUGGUAGUCCGGAUUGGAGUCUGCAGCUCGACUCCAUGAAGCCGGAAUCGCUAGUAAUCGUAGAUCAGAAUGCUACGGUGAAUACGUUGCCGGCCCUUGUACACACCGCCCCCCGUACCCCCGCCCCGCCCCGCGCGCGCGGCGGGCGAAG